GCCUUUUUGUAGUGGUUUUUUUUUUUUUUUUUUUUUGCCAUUUAGUAGAGCUUUGGUUUGUACCCCUGGAUGGCUGUCAGCUAGGAUUUCACUGUGGGAUGUUGCAGGGCAAAAUCUGUUCGUUCUGCAUGGGGAAUCAGGCUGCUUACAGCAACCUAAUCCUUAAGGACCUUUGAAUGGGGAGACAGCAAACCACUCCAGUAAGCAGCAGUGCCCUGCCUGCAGCGGGACAGCUGGGGACGGGGGCUUUGCUGCAAGCUGCUACAAAGCUUGAGCUGAGCUUUCCUCUGCGCUGUUGCUAACAGCCAUGGCACGAAUCCAGAGCGACCUGUAGUUAUGUCAAACACUGAUAGGAUCUAGGUUGUAACAAUUUUAGCUAUGCUUUUUUUAGUCUGCGGAGCAAUCUGGUAACUGCCAUUCCUUUGACAAAUACUAAUACCCAAUUAAAUCUUGCAGAAAGAAUGAGUUUAAAUUAUUGCAGUUGUUUAAACCUCACAGAGUGUUCUUCAUUACACUGGGCCACGUGGCUGCUGCCGAGCUGGAAAGGGAAGAGGUCCUCUCCCAACAGUGGCACUGACAGUGACGUCCCCAUCUCCAUUGUUGGAUGGAGCCCUGGGCAACCUCGGCAAGCACCAGAUCUGGAGCUCUCAUAGCUUCGGGAAAGGGUUUCUGUGACACUGCUGUGCGCCCAUGCUCACUGCUGGCUGCGAGCAGCACCACUUCAUCCUUGUCUUGGGCUCCUCCAUUCCUGAAAAGCUCCACGAUUGUGUUUGUACUGCAGAAAGGGCUGAUGCCAUUUGCUUUUAGAAGAGAGAAGCUUCAUGGGAACGUGAGAGCUAUGGGUCCCGCCAGUGUUUUAGCAGCAGAAGCUAUCUCAAUAGUGUCAGUGCAUGUGCAUUGCCCUGCCCAUGCCACAUCACUGGGUGCCACGCUGCAGCUCACAGCAGGGUGCAGGGACUCCCCAGAGUGUGUGUCAUCCCCCAGCCCUUGGUGCGUGGCCAUUGGCAACACCCUGCCCCUCCAGCAGCCCCGUCCUGCUCCAGCCCUGCGCUUCUCCAGCCUCGCUGCAGCUCGCUGCUUGCUUUUCUCCUGCUAAUUAACUUCUCCAGCUCCCGGCGGGUGCCAUCUGCCCCUUGUGUGAGGGCACAUGCAGCUCCAGCGGGCGCAGACGGCCGGUGACAGCUCCUGCGGGAUGAAGAUGUAUCCGCGCUGCUCCCUCCCUGCACCUUCUGCUGCUUCCCUGGCUCUGUGGAGCCGAGCUCACCCGUCUGCCAUCCGCACAUGGCUCCAGCCCUGCAGUUUGAGCAGCUCUGCUCUGAGCUGCUGAGGAACACUGCAGCGGGCAGGCUCUGGCUGCUGGGUGCCAUGGCCAUGCCUGGGGCUUUCAUGCAUGCCUCUGCCCUGGGCAGCGAGGGACUUCUGGGGUCACUCAUGAGCGCAUGGAACCGUCCCAACACGCCAUGCUGAAGCAGGGCUCCGAUGAGCUGGAAAUUAACAGUCAAGGUGCCACAGCGCCUGGCCUCAAGUCUGUGCCAUCCUGUCUGGGUUGGGCCUGUGGGCAGCGCUGCGAGAGAGGUCCCAGCCUCUUGGUGACACCUGAAUGGCAUUUCUCAAUGCUCCCAAGGGAACAUUUCCUGUCCUGUUCUUCAGGGCCUGCUCUGCUCUGGUGGGAGAGAAGGAGGAGCGGAUUUUCUUUUCUUGGCAAACUCUGUUGCAACCGUUCUUGCUUGAAGUCUCUCAGCAUCUGCAUGCGCAGGGAUCUCGUCAUCUCUGUCUCCAUGGUGCAAAAAUAGUCUCUCUGUGCAGAGACUUCAGCCCUGCUUGAAAAUGAUCCCCAGAACACCCGGUUCUGGCAUGUUUGGCAGCACAGGGAAGGGGUGGCAGUCCCUCAUGCUCUGUGUGCUUGGGGCUCAGCUGCACAGUGCUGAGCCACUCCUCCAUCACCCACAGAGCUGCAGGGGGCUCAGCUCUAGCUGCCUCCAGGUCCUUGCUACCCCCUACCAGGGCAGCAGCAGCAGAGGAGCCCCUGGUGCCCAGGGAUGGGCCUGAUUUGCUCUGAGCAGGGGAUGUGAGGAGCUGCUGGGAGCAUGCCCGCAGGUUCCUGUGUGCUGCGUGCCUGCGUUUUCCACCUCUGACUUCUUUGAAACUCCCACUUCCUGAGGGAAUUUAAAACCAUUUGCAUGAGGUGGAAGCUGCCUCACUUUGCAAUGAGCUUGUGUCUUAUUUUAUGAAUGACUAAAGCUUUUGGUUGCCUAAACAGGAAUGUCUCUUUCCAGAAGGGAACACAGGAACCGGAGCACUUGGGGGCGGUUCUUCCCUGUGCCGCACUUUGGUGCUCAGUGGCACAUGGCUCCUGCUGGCAUCGCCUUGAUGCUAACACUGGGCACCCUGCAGGGCACAGCCAGGGGUAGCACAGGGCUCUGGCACCACAGCUCAGCUCUGU